AGAGUUUGAUCAUGGCUCAGGAUGAACGCUGGCGGCGUGCCUAACACAUGCAAGUCGAACGGGAAUCUUCGGAUUCUAGUGGCGGACGGGUGAGUAACGCGUAAGAAUCUAACUUCAGGACGGGGACAACAGUUGGAAACGACUGCUAAUACCCGAUAUGCCGCGAGGUGAAACCUAAUUGGCCUGAAGAAGAGCUUGCGUCUGAUUAGCUAGUUGGUGGGGUAAGAGCCUACCAAGGCGACGAUCAGUAGCUGGUCUGAGAGGAUGAGCAGCCACACUGGGACUGAGACACGGCCCAGACUCCUACGGGAGGCAGCAGUGGGGAAUUUUCCGCAAUGGGCGAAAGCCUGACGGAGCAACGCCGCGUGAGGGAGGAAGGUCUUUGGAUUGUAAACCUCUUUUCUCAAGGAAGAAGUUCUGACGGUACUUGAGGAAUCAGCCUCGGCUAACUCCGUGCCAGCAGCCGCGGUAAUACGGGGGAGGCAAGCGUUAUCCGGAAUUAUUGGGCGUAAAGCGUCCGCAGGUGGUCAGCCAAGUCUGCCGUCAAAUCAGGUUGCUUAACGACCUAAAGGCGGUGGAAACUGGCAGACUAGAGAGCAGUAGGGGUAGCAGGAAUUCCCAGUGUAGCGGUGAAAUGCGUAGAGAUUGGGAAGAACAUCGGUGGCGAAAGCGUGCUACUGGCUGUAUCUGACACUCAGGGACGAAAGCUAGGGGAGCGAAAGGGAUUAGAUACCCCUGUAGUCCUAGCCGUAAACGAUGGAUACUAGGCGUGGCUUGUAUCGACCCGAGCCGUGCCGAAGCUAACGCGUUAAGUAUCCCGCCUGGGGAGUACGCACGCAAGUGUGAAACUCAAAGGAAUUGACGGGGCCCGCACAAGCGGUGGAGUAUGUGGGUUUAAUUCGAUGCACGCGAGAACUUACCAGACUUGACAUGUCGCGACCCUGUGAAAGCUGGGGUGCCUUCGGAGCGCGAACACAGUGUGCAUGCUGUCGUCAGCUCGUGUCGUGGAGAUGUUGGUAGUCCCGCCACGAGGCGCACCCUCGUUCUUA
rnacentral:rRNA from 1 species